ACCCAACACGAACACCUCCCUUACUCGCACAGGGGUUCUGUAAUACCCUAACAAUGCGCUAUCUCGUCUCUCUUGUUUGCCUGCAAUGGUAUCUCUCUAUUUUGCUCAGAUAUUCCCAGCUCAAACUUACUGGAAUCCUCUCGUUCCCUUUUUCCUUCUCUAUGUAUACACUCAUGCCUCUUUGUCCAGGAACUUGUGUAUUAAGCCGCGUACACACGGCCAUUUUGUCGUCUUUUGGAACCGAUCGCGUAUGGACUCCGAAAGAUUUCUUUCGUUUUUUUCCUAUAACAACUGUUUACCGUCCAGAAUUUAAUUAGGAAAUCGUGUCAUCCUCUUCGUUUAUCUCAUAUCGUAUUCUUUGUGAGUCAUAUGUUCCUCUGAUUUUUUUAUUUUUUUCGCUUACGGAGACCUCGGUUACUCAACCUAACGCUACAUUAUACCUCGUACACACUUUCACGAUACUCGAUACUACAUUUUUCUCUCUUCUUCCUUUCGAACACAAGAACGUUUCAUACUUUCCAUAAGUCGUCUCAUUCCCGCUCAUUUGCACCUCUAUCUCUGUCUCUCGUUAGUGUGCGCGCUCACAAGGCGACCACCUCCCACCAUUCCGUGCACCUGAACCCUCCAUUUUGUUGCGCAUGUAUCUCUGUCUUCGUUCAACGCCAUCUCCUCUCCUUAUCGCGAAUGCAACGCGAAUUCUCCGUCUUUGUUUCGCCAGCGAUCCUCUGGAUUUUGCGUAUUUGCUCGCUCACGGGGCCCCACUAUCAGGAUAGGGUCACCUUAUUCGGUCGGGGCGAAAAAAAAAAAGUUCUAUCACUCGGUGAGCACGUGCUCGUUCAGACCUCCCUACCUCGGCUGCAUGCCUGCUUACCGAGCAUGUUCCAGGUUAUCGCAGGCCGAUUCUUCGCCGCAUGAUUUUCUGUUUACCGAGCGUCAAGAUAUUAGCGCGAAGCACGGUUAUUAGUGACGUGUCUUGACAGACGAUCUCCGAUAGAAUUUAGGAAUAUUUUCAAGAACGAUCGAUCGGUUCGAAGAGCGUCCAGAAUCAUUGAGUUGGAGGGAUUGAUCAACUUUUUCUGAUCCCUCUGUGAACGACCCUUGUACCCAUUAUUGUUUAUUAAUAUUCACCAAGUUAAUUUUUACUUAAUUACUGAAUUUGUAAAUAAACGAUAUGAUACUGGAAAUUUAAUAUUUAUGUCAAAAAGUGAUUCGCAACAAAUUGUGACGUAUACGAAAAUUGCAACAUUUCCGCAGACUGAAAUAAAUGAGGAUUGUUUAGAUUGUUAUCAAUUAUCUGUUAUCUAACGCAUGCUCGGUAAUUCAUAAGGCAGGAAAGUAAACUGAUAGUAUGCAACAUCUAUACUGUUCGUUUCAUGAAAGAGAAAAAGCAUUGCAGAAUACAGUUUCAGAUAACAACAAUUUGAAUGAUUUGCUGUAGGUCAGUGAAGAAUAAUCAGUCAGAAAAACAACAUUUUCGAAUUUGCACUUUAUCGCAAAACAAGAAAUAUUUUCUUGCUACAAAUGAAAAAAUUCGAAAUUCCUCUACCUGGUUCCUUUACAAUUGUACCCUAUACAACCCAUAACCUUAACCGUAUUCUAUUGGACCCUUAACAAAGUUCUUUCAGUACUUUUCCACUGCUUUCACUCUCCUCUGUGCCAUGCCCUCGGAAGAGGGACAAAAUGGAAGUCGAGAAAUGCGCAAGCUCCUCGUUAAAUCGAUCUAAACUGGUAUUUCAUGUUAUACAUUAUUCGACAAGUGUAAUCAAUACCUCUAACAAUAAACUGACAUUUUACCUCUUUUAUA